GCGGUCCAUGAUGGCAGCAGGCGCGAAAUUGUCCCUCUUUUGAGAGGAGACAGUUAUGAAACGUGAGUAGAAGGGUCGAGUGUAAAAACCUUGACGUGAAGCAAUUGGAGGGCAAGUUUUGGUGCCAGCAGCCGCGGUAAUUCCAACUCCAAGAGUGUCUAUGGUGGAUGCUGCAGUUAAAGGGUCCGUAGUCGUAGAUGCAAUUAAAAGGUGGUGUUAAAAGCCAUUGAGUUUGUUGAGAGUAGCGGAACGGAUAGGGAGCAUGGUAUAGGUGGGCAAAGAAUGAAAUCUCAAGACCCCACCUGGACCAACGGAGGCGAAAGCGAUGCUCUUAGACGUAUCUGGGGAUCAAGGACGAAGGCUAGAGUAUCGAAAGUGAUUAGACACCGCUGUAGUUCUAGCAGUAAACUAUGCCGACAAUGCUGGGUGUUGCGAGAGCGAUGCUUGGUGUGGGAGAAAUCUUAGUUUUCGGGCUCUGGGGAUAGUACGCUCGCAAGGGUGAAACUUAAAGCGAAAUUGACGGAAGGACACUACCAGGAGUGGAUUGUGCUGCUUAAUUUAACUCAACGCGGGAAAACUUACCAGGGUCAAGUCUAUCGUAGAUUGGAGACAUGAGGUAGACAAGAGUGGUGCAUGGCCGUUGGAAAUUGAUGGGGGGACUUUUAGCUUAAGUGCUGGAACCAGUGAGAUCUUCUAGACAGGGGGUAUUUAAGGACAAGGAGGAAAAAGGCAAUAACAGGUUCCGGAUGCCCUUAAAUAUCCGGGGGCAGCAGCGCAAUACAAUUUCUCUUGAAAAAAACAAACAAAUUUAAAAAGAUAAGGAAUUAAUUUUUUUUAAAUAACCGUAU
rnacentral:rRNA from 1 species